rnacentral:lncRNA from 10 species
GUUUGAGACCCAGCGUCUCUAGAUCUCGUAUUUGAAUUUGUGGCGCUUGGUGUCCGCGAGUUGCCGAAUGAAGCUGAGCGUCUCAGUGGAACCAGGGAUCUCAGGGAGGGGAAGGUAUAAAAUUUUCAAAUGGAGGAGUAUACCUGAACCUAAUCAUGGAUGUGAUUUUAUGGUCUCGCUUUGUCACCUAGCAGUGUAGUGGUGUAAUCACAGCUCACUGCAGCCUCGACCUCCUGGGCGCAAGGAAUCUUCCAGCCUCAGCCACCCAAGUAGCUGAGACUACAAAUACAGAUAAGCUGAUUCUAAAACUUACAAGAAUGGCAAAGAAACAAGAAGAGCUUAAACUGCAAUCAUCAACAGAGAAGCUUUCUGCAACCAAAGUGAAGACUGAAGCCUUAGGCUAUGGCAGAAGUUGGGCGCCUGAAGUACACGUGGAAAUAUGCCAACUGAACAUUGGACUACCACGUCAAGGGUCUCCUACCCCUGGGCCAUGGAUCAAUACCAGUCUGUGACCUGUUAGGAACCGGUAGCAGGAGCGCCUGCCCCUGGCUCAGCGCCCGGUGCCAACAGAACACCUUUCAGGAUCCACAGCAACGCAGACAACGGAACUCACAAGGGCUUCGGUUCUCAAGAGGCCAUCAAAACAUAACUGCUGCCGAGACAAUACCUUUCCUUCCCCUCACUACAUUCACUGAAUGUUCUGGAUCAGUGCGUCUCACACCUUUGGAUCUUAUAAGCUACUUGGAAAAAUUUUAAAGCACCUGAUGGAUUUGGAAAAUAUUUAAUGAAGACAAUGAUGCUGACAUCUCAAGUUAAAAGGUUCUACAGAGAAGGCAAAGAUUUUGAAGGCACAGGAGACUAUCAUAGAUAUUCACAACGGCAUCUCCCUAAAGGAUUUGAAAGCUUUGCAUCAACCAAAGGAAAAGCACCAGUGAGAGUCAAGAUACAGUUCCAGACAGGUGCUACUUCUUAUUCAAAAGGUAUCAAGGUCUUGUUCUUAUAUGUUCAGAUCAGUGCUGGAAAUGAUGAAGACAGAGAGACUGGAAGGAAGAACACAACAGUUGAGUGAGUAUUAAGUAUUCUCAGUUAGAUCAGGGGUCCCCAACCCUCAGGCCAAGGACAGGUACUGGUCUGUGGCCUGUUAGGAACUGGGCCGCACAGCAGGAGGCGAGCAGCAGGCGAGUGAGCAUUACCACCUGAGCUCCACAUCCUGUCAGAUCAGCAGCAACAUUAGAUUCUCACAGGAGCACGAACUCUAUUGCAAACUUUGCAUACAAGGGAUCUAGAUUGUGCAGUCCUUAUGAGAAUCUAAUGCCUGAUGAUCUAAGGUAGAAGUUUCAUCCCAAAAUCACAUUCCCCCCAACCCCUGGCAUCCGUGGAAAAAUUGUCUUCCACAAACCUGGUCCCUGGUGCCAAAAAGGUUAGGUACUGCUGAGUUAGAUCAUAACAUUUAAUCCUGAUAAUAACUCUGUGAGGCAAGGUUUGUUCGGCCCAAUAAAC